rnacentral:rRNA from 1 species
UACGAAGGGGGCGAGCGUUGUUCGGAUUUACUGGGCGUAAAGGGCGCGCAGGCGGCUUUGUUUGUCAGGCGUGAAAGCCCCGGGCUCAACCUGGGAAUGGCAGUGGAUACUGGCAAGCUAGAGUGUGUCAGAGGAUGGCGGAAUUCCCGGUGUAGCAGUGAAAUGCGUAGAGAUCGGGAGGAACAUCUGUGGCGAAGGCGGCCAUCUGGACCAGCACUGACACUGAGGCACGAAAGCGUGGGGAGCAAACAGG